rnacentral:rRNA from 1 species
UACAGAGGUCUCGAGCGUUAGGCGGAAUCACUGGGCUUAAAGCGUGUGUAGGCGGAUCGUUAAGUGCCUUGUGAAAUCCCACGGCUCAACCGUGGAACUGCUUGGCAUACUGGCGGUCUUGAGCAACCUAGGGGCGAGCGGAACAAAUGGUGGAGCGGUGAAAUGCGUAGAUAUCAUUUGGAACGCCAAUGGGUGAAAACAGCUCGCUGGGGG